GGUGCGGGGAGGGAGGGGAUGGGGUGGGGUGGGGUGGGAAGCACACGAGGGUGAAGCCAGAGGAUGGAGCAGGUGGCACAGCUCAGAGCUGGAAAAAAGGGGGACAAUAGGAAGGCACUGGAAUUUAAUUGAUUUUGAUUACCUGCCUUAUUAUUAUGCUGCCAGUAGCGAUAGUUCAGCUUAACGUGGUCGUGGAUUACAACUGCUACCUGGUGGAAGUGUACCGCACGUAAGCAAAGCACGAUCAAAGGUACUUGCAGGCCAAGUGGCCACCGGACAGGGACAAGUCUCUCACCCCCACAGUGCCGUGCCCGGCCUCGUGUCAGCCCAACCGCUGAGGUCCGGCCCAAGGGACACAGCAAAUGUGGAAGACACGGCUAACCAGGAGCAGCCCUCAUGGGAAAGACGACUUUUGAGCUCUUGGCUCCAUUUCCGAAGCAAGACGCAUCCUCCCCUUGGACACCCCGGCCACAGGGGCACCCAGAGCCCCCUGUCCCCCUGUCUGUCCGUGCAGACAGACAGGGGGACGGAGGGGGCACAUUCCCAUUCCUCCCAGCCAUGCAUUAUGCACCGGCCACCUGCAUCUUUGUUCUGAACACAACGCGUGCGCCUCUCCUAGAUGCAUAUUCACUCGGUUCUGCCACAAUAAGAACGACGCGCUGGUUUUUGCAUGUCUACAUGAGCCAUCUGCCUCUAGUUUAUUGAUAAAAACCUGGAACAGCAUUGCUCACCGAAACAAAAUAAGAGUGCUUGUAAGGUGUGGAUGGUUGUGUGUGCGUGUGGGUAAUUUCAGCCCAGAAUUCUGCAGAAGCUGGGUUUAAUGCUUUUUUUUUUUUUUCCCCAGUCAGAUAUCAUCUAGACAUUAGUAUUCCUAACACAGCAUAUAAUUAGCGAGAGGCAAUAUAUUGUAUGAUCAUGCACGUUAACACUUAAGUAGAAUAAAAAUGUUUCAUUGUCAAGUACAUGAAAAGCUAAGAAUAAACCCAUAUCACUCUUCCUGUUGAAUAUCCAAACAUCUUUUCAUCGUAUUUUUCAUCUUCUUUUUUUUUUUUUUAUCACAGUUUUGCACUUCAGCUUCUCUCUUUCAGUCCCACACGUAGCAAGUAAAACGAUGCUCAUACCAUUCCCAUGGCCUCACCAGUCAGUACCAGUCAUCCACUAGCUAGAAAGAAGGUACAAUUUUCAGUGCUAUCUUUGAACUUUAUGAAAGUGAAAAGGGUACAUGAAUUUGUUCCGUGUAACCUUCAGAGCAGAGCAGUUCUCCUUUUAUAGACAUAUUUAUAAAUUGGCAAUAAAUUCAAGCUCUACAAGACCUGCUUUUAUAGAGACAGGAGUUAGGGAGCUGGCAUUUUUAUUAAUUUGUCCAUAUUGAUGCGAUGUUAAGUGAUCGAUUUAUAGAGGAUACACCGCGUUUCCUGGGAAAGGAGAGCUGAGACCCGUGUUACUCCUGACGCAUCCUCAGCCACAGGUCGCUCCGCAUUUCUCAGCGUACCAACCAGCCCGAGGACAUGACGGCAGGGAAGGAAGAAAAAUCUCCCAGGGGAUUAUUCCAAGCAUCAGAGGCAUCAGAGGGAGGUGCAGGGAGCGAGCUCGCCGUGCUGCCUGGUGCCAAGGCACCCCAAAAGCUCUGGCAUCCACCCACCAAGCAGCUGGAGAUGAAACACUAUCACAUCCCAGGGCACGUGCGAGAGGGACUACAUGCAACUUGGCCAGAGAAUCCACCACGUCCAGCAGUAAAUGCAGCCGAGGGGCUACAAAGACCCAUCCCUGCCAGAAAAGUGCAUUGUUCCAAUAGAGAAAGAAGCCAAUAUGCACUAAAAAUGACUUACUAUGUACAGUGUGCUUAAAUCAACAGUCGAACGUACGUUGAAAUGUGCUUCAUGCAAAUGCCCGGGGGCACUCUACCAUAAAAAACAUUUUUAUAUACACAUGUAUAAAUGCCACGCAAUAUUUAAAUGCUAAGUCUACCAAAUGAUUACUCCACUUACUCUUCAUGACAGGCAGGAGGCAAAACUCUCUGCUGGGAAAAAGUCGAUGGAGUUACAACAGGGAAUAGAGCCCAGCAUGACAAAAAAUACAGCUGCGCCAGCAGAGGCCAACAGGAGGGAUGUGGGACUAGCUUAAUUGGAAACCUUGUGCUUGAGAUGCCACAUAGUGACAGCAAGAGAUCGGAGAACAGGUUUUAUCCUGAGCACCAUGAAUAUAAAAUAUUGCUGCCAGGCACGGCCCUGACUUGGAGCAGAUCUCUACUGAUAUUAACAAAAGGCUGGGAGAUGGCAUGGUGGAGGUGGUGUGAAGGAAAAGCACCUGGAAAGUGUUAACAAGACACAACAGGGAUGAGGAAAACUGGCAAAAUUCUGUGAUUUUUCCCAGCUGCUAAUGAAAAGUUUGCAAUGUUCUCGCAAGUCUGAGAAAUUAAGGGAGAGGGAAUCAUUUGGCACGAUAAAAUGCCUUCCCUGGAGGUGAAAGGUAAUUAAUGGUUGCGGGACUCAGCAAAGAAUUCAGCUUGUGUCCAAAUCCUGAAUCCUUCUUGUUCUUCACCCAUGGCCAGAACAGCUUUUGGUCUCGGUCCUCAAGUUGAGAUCCACCCACGAUGGGUAGGAAGUUACAGGGAUGCCUCUGAAGCAUUUGGUACCUCCACGGUGCUGGUCUGCCACAGCCAGCAGGGGCCAGGAGGCCACGUCCUCACCUCCUCACACCUGCAGCUCCCUUGGGAGCUGAGAUUUCUGUUAAACCACACUUUUGUUGAGCACAGCCCAAGACUCUGCCCUCAAAUUUUCUAAAGAGAUGAGCAUUGAUGGAUCUUCAUGGCUCCCAUCUGGCUCUCGGGUCUCCUUUUGAACUUUUUCCACCUUCAGCUGCCCACUGCUCCGUGCUGGUGACAGGGGGACAUGUGGCUGUGUGCUGUGCAAGGCAUCGCUGAGCACCACAACCACCUGCAUCGCUCACUCUGGCCCCAUCUGCAGCCCCUCACCAGGCCCAGGCUGGUUAUGUCCCCCAAAAAUGAUCAAACACAUCUCAACAGUGGCCUUUUACCUGCCAUAUCCAAGCGCUGGGUUUUCCCUGCUUUUCCUUCCCUUGAGAACUGGGGGAGCAGAGGGAAGCAACCUGGCCUUCAGCCAUCUGAUGUGGGGAGCAGAGGGUGCACAGCCUGCAGCUCUCCUGCUACACCCUCUUCCGUACGGGUGGUUUGUGUGGAGAAGAGAGGGAUUGUAACGCUACAAGAGAUGAAUUGUAACACUAGAAGUGAUGAAUGGUAGCUACCAAGUUCGUUAUCCAGGCUAUCCAGUAUUGACCUAUAUCUGCUUCAUAAAGGUGAAAAAACAUGGAUAGCUGCGUGGGUUGAGCAGGAACAUCUUCCUGCUGCCAGCUGGCAAACAGCUUGGGGAUUACAGCAUGAGGAUUAAUAGCCUUUGUCAUUUGUAAGUGCAGAUGCUAACCUUACUCACAUGACGGACUGAUCUUCUUUGGAUUCUGUGCCUGUUUGCUGUUCCAGAAAGAUGACCUUGAGCUGCUGUGAGAGACAAAAUAUUUACACUUUCAUUUCUUAAGGCCUACGGUGCAGGCUGCGGGAAGACACGCGCUCACUCUGCUUAGGAGGAGGAGGAGAAAAAAAAAAAAAGCUGUAUGCCUUGUGUAUGCCUUCAGCAGCUCUGGGGCUAAGGAGCUGUGGUGACAAACAGCAAACCCACAGGUGUGCAGCAGUGCAAGCACCCAGCCUUCCCUCCCCCUGUCCCGGCCACUGCUGGGGGUUUUCACUUCUUGCACAACUUCUUGCACGUCGUGCCUGCUAAAUCUGCACCAGAUCCCAAAUAAACACUCAAAUCAGCUACACUGAGUUCCAAGCUCUAAGACCUGCCAGCGUCUGGGUGUGUUUAUCGCUGAAGAAGACCAGCCGGACACCAGCGGCCUACCUCCAGCCCGGCCCCUCAGGUGGCAGCUAGCCCCACCGCCAUGCCCUGCAGCAGGCCGUAGGCUUCGCUCGGCCUCCACAUCCACCUUUGUGGCGAGGGCAGGAGGCAGCUGAGAGGCCGAGAGAUGAAGUGCAGUGAUCACACAGAUUAAAGACGAUGAUAAAUAUGGGAGUGGAAGGAAAGCUCUGCAGGCACGCUAGCUGCAAGGUCAGCACCAGCUGAAGGAGAAAGCGAACCGCCACCAGAGGAAACGCCUGUUCCUCUGCCAGGCUGCCACCGUCAGCUUUGUGCUGGAGAAAUGAUCAAUAGCAGCUGGCAGCCCCUGGUUCUGUGAGUCCAAGAACAUCUGAAGACAUUCACAACUGAAGAUCAGUCGAUUAUGUAAAGCACACGGUAACUCCUCGGGAUCUGCAGCCGCUAAAAAUACCCGCAUGCAUUGUCCGUGCGCCCCAGGAACCGCGCACCCCGCGUCACCCCGUGAGGGAAAUGCAGGCAAGCUGGAGCGAGCAGGACACAGCAGGGCCCAAGUAAUUAAAGACAGCGGUAGAAAGGAAACCCAGACUCAUCAAACCGCGCAGCAGACAGCCCAGAGGAAGGCUUUACAAAGGGGCACUUCAGUUAGCUGUCGCUGCAGCGCCGCAGGCUAAAAGAGGUUCUCGUUUCUGUGGGCAUCAGUUGAAAGUCAGCAUUACUGCAGAGAAUACAAACGCGGUGAGAUCAUUCUGUUCUGCUGUUGAUACACAUUAAAAACAAAACAAAACAAAAAAAUAACAGCAGAGUGCCGAGCAGGACAGGGACGUGCUGGCUGGAGAGAGACCAAGGAGGGAGCAGACUGCAGCUAGCUGAACGAUGCUGCUUGAGGUACAGAGAUGUACCCAGAGCACUUGCCCACAGCACUCUGGGCUUAUGCCAGUGUUGUUAGCUCCUUCCCACACAAUGGUUUUGUGGGUUUGGGGGCUUUUUUUUUCCACCACUCCCCAAGAGGAGAAAAUUCAAACAAACUCUUAGGGGAUUCCAGACAAGAGAAUCAAAAGGAGAUGAAUUACCUUAGAAAACGUGUUAGGAAACUUGCACAGGGAGGAUGUGCAAGUGCCCAAGCACUCCCAGAACCAGGUCAGCCUCUGAUUGCCCCACAGCCUCCCUCCUGUCCAGGAGCCCCACAAAAGCAGAGACUGGGCAUCAGCAUUCACGUGGAUGGAGGCUGGCAGAGCACCGGGCUCCAGGUCUAGUGACCGCCACCAACAGAGGGCUAAGUGCACGGCCAGAUUCCCAAGGAAUGGAAGUACUUCUGAAAAUUCAGUCUUCUCAGCCACUUCUAAAGGAAACAAGGGGUUAAGACAGUGACUGAAAGGGCAGUGGUAUUUACAUGAGAAAGACCAGGAGCACAAGGCCAGCCUGUAUCAAUAUUAGCAAUGACUAAUUCAAUCUGUCAAUAGGAAGAAUUACGGGAGCUCUGCUAUAAAGGGGAGCUGCUGCAAAGCCUUCUUCAUUUCACAGAUACUCAAUACUGCAAAGAGAAAUAAACCAAAAAAGCAACAAAACCCCCAAACUAGAGCUCGUACGCAUGAGCUCCAACACUGUUCAUCCCAAGAUUCCUAAAUCCCCCUGUGCUUCAGUAGGAAUUUAAUGAACCUCACAAAUGUACUGCUCAAGGCAUGGAUGUGCCAGCGGGUUUAGCAGCAGCCCCAAAAUAAUAAAAAUAAAAAAAAUCAGUGCUUCCCUUGCCUCAUCCCUUUUUCCUUCCCUCCAAAUUCUUCUUGUAAAACAUCAGGCCAAAAUGCCGUUGCAAUGAUGCAGGAAGCUACUGCAUCUGAGAGCAAAGUUUUAACAUGCUCAGAUAUUAGCUGACUCCAAGUAUCCUGACUCCCACUAUUCUACAGUAGAAAUAUAUCUUAAAAUUCAAUUUCCCUUAUGCUGUAUCUUCAGAGAAGAUGUAGAUACGAAAAUAGCACAGAAGUCCAAAAACAGUUUACUUCAUUGCUUUUUAAAAUGGUCUUUUCCAAGAUUUCUUUUUAAUCAGACAAUUAAAAACCUGGGUUAUCUCCAGUUCACUUCUGAAACAUACUAUCAAGUUAUGCUUUUCCCUUAGCUAAUCAUUAAAUUAAGCAUAAGCAAUACUUUGCAGGUUCAAGAAGUAACGAAGAGAAUCUCAGUAAGUUUAUUAUACAUACACAUUUCAGAUAAUAAAAUUGCUUAUAAACACUUGUAUAUACAUUUUGUGCAGUUCAGGAAAAACAGAUGCAGAGAUUGGAAAACAUCUGAAAUCAGCAAAUGCACCUUUUGAAUUGGGCUGUUUUCUGUACUUUUUCUUCCAGAAGAAAAGUACAUGGUAAAAGAAACACAGACCUGUUCUGCUCAUUACCGCUCACAUGCUUAUUUUCUCUCCUAUUGGUAAUACAGCAGCAUUAACAGUGCAGUCAAAAACGUAGUUCUGUUUGGGUUAGAUCCUGCUUUGCGAUACAAAGCUCCAGUAGUGCAAAGCAGAUACUAUGCCAGCUUAUCUAGGCAGUGGAGGACAACCCUCCUGCAUAGGACACCCACCAGUCUCACUGGAAAUGGUGCUCAGACAGGUAAGUGUAAGAAUAUCUAUAACCAUGACCUGUAGGAUAAUUUGUCUCACCUAUACCUGCAGUCCUUCUCCCUACAGAUUAUUCUUUCUUGUUGGACUGCCCCGCGAGGGCAGACAAAGCCUGUGUGCAUCACACCAAGUGAUAACCCAAGUCUAGCACUUCACUGGGUGUGAGGCAAACCAGCACCCAGGCUCAAUUUUGGUUAAAAAGCCAGUGCCCAAACUUGCACUGGUUAGAUCUGCACAGCACCAUCAAAGGGAAGGAGACAAUUGUGGUGCAGGAGGCAGAGUUUGGUGCCAGGUCUUAGUAAACGACAAAAACAAAACAUGAGGUGAUUCAGGACUCAGAAACCUUUUCAGCAGAAUAUUUCCUGUCUCAUUACCAUCAGCAGGAAUGAAGAAAUGCCAGUCCUCUUCUAAAGAGAACAGGGAAUCGAAAUCAGGCCGAUGAUAGCAUUUGAAUGUCUUGGCACCUUACUGUCUACGUACCAUCACUGCACGAGAGGAUGAACAUCCUUUGCUGUGUCACACGCAGCUUUGCAACAGCUAACGACUGCUAAACGUUCAAUAGUGAGACAGCAGACGAAGACGUGUUCCCUAUCCAUUGACUCCAAUUUUUUUCAUUUUUUGACUUUAACUCACAGAGACAGGAAAAAAGAUUAAAAUGGAAAAUGACAAAAAAGAGUCCGAAGAAUAACUACAUAAAAGUGUCAUCACCUCAUCCAGCAAGCCUGCUCCUUGCACUGGUUUCAGUCAGAGGCAGGAAACGUAAUACUUUUCUCCGGUGUGGUUCGUCAGAGCCAGCACCCCCUCUAGGAGGGGUCCCCUGGAUCCUAUUUCUUGCCUGUAGGAGAGCUUGCCCCAAAGAUGAAGUGAUGUGGUCUGGCAUUCCCUACUGCUCAGCAUGCCAAAAAUGGUCCCUUUUCAGAUCCCCAGAAGACAUUACAGGAUAGAACAUUUGAACAAGAGCCCUCAGAGAACUUGAGUUGUGCUUAACUGAGUGAGAGAAACCACAGCCAGAAGGCCUUUCUGUGCACUGCUCACAGGAACGCUUUUCUGAAUGAACCUCACUUUUACAGAGCAAAGUAACACACGGCCAAAACGAUGCAGAAAAGUGUGAUUCAGGCACAAAGGUGGAUGUGCAGCUUGGUCUGGUCUUUUUUUUUUUUUUUUUUUUGGUAUCCAUGAUGA